rnacentral:rRNA from 1 species
CAGUAGCCGCGGGAAUACGGAGGAUCCGAGCGUUAUCCGGAAUUAUUGGGUUUAAAGGGUGCGUAGGCGGAUAGAUAAGUCAGUGGUGAAAGACGGUGGCUCAACCAUCGCAGUGCCGUUGAUACUGUUUAUCUUGAAUAUGGAUGAGGUAGGCGGAAUGUGGCAAGUAGCGGUGAAAUGCAUAGAUAUGCCACAGAACACCGAUUGCGAAGGCAGCUUACCAAGGCAAAAUUGACGCUGAGGCACGAAAGCGUGGGGAUCGAACAGGAUUAGAUACCCGGGUAGUCCCUGUCUCUUAUAC